AGAACGAACGCUGGCGGCAGGCCUAACACAUGCAAGUCGAACGCCUCGCAAGAGGAGUGGCAGACGGGUGAGUAACACGUGGGAACGUACCCUUCGGUUCGGAAUAACUCAGGGAAACUUGUGCUAAUACCGGAUACGAUCGCGAGAUGAAAGAUUUAUCGCCGAAGGAUCGGCCCGCGUCUGAUUAGCUAGUUGGUGAGGUAAUGGCUCACCAAGGCGACGAUCAGUAGCUGGUCUGAGAGGAUGACCAGCCACAUUGGGACUGAGACACGGCCCAAACUCCUACGGGAGGCAGCAGUGGGGAAUAUUGGACAAUGGGCGCAAGCCUGAUCCAGCCAUGCCGCGUGAGUGAUGAAGGCCUUAGGGUUGUAAAGCUCUUUUACGUCGGGAAGAUAGUGACGGUACCGAGAGAAUAAGCCCGGCUAACUUCGCGCCAGCAGCCGC
rnacentral:rRNA from 1 species